CUAACAAGGAUUCCCCUAGUAACGGCGAGUGAAGAGGGAAGAGCUCAAAUUUUAAAUCUGCCUUGUUUCAAGGUCGAGUUGUAAUUUGAAGAAGCGUUUUCUUGGGCUCGCGGCCGGUAGAAGUUCUUUGGAACAGGACAUCAUAGAGGGUGACAAUCCCGUCUGCGACCGGUCGUGCGUUCAUCUACGAUACGCUUUCAAAGAGUCGAGUUGUUUGGGAUUGCAGCUCCAAAUGGGUGGUAAACAUCACCUAAGGCUAAAUAUUGGCGAGAGACCGAUAGCGAACAAGUACCGUGAGGGAAAGAUGAAAAGAACUUUGAAAAGAGAGUUAAACAGUACGUGAAAUUGUUGAAAGGGAAACGAUUGAAGUCAGUCGUGCUGGCGCGAAAUCAACCCUCUCGUCGAGAGGUCACAUGGCGUGGCGAGCCUCAAAACCGUCACGAAGCGUGAACUCUUGGCGAAAAGGAGCACUUUCGUGUCCGCUGGUUAACAUCAAUUUCGAACGUCAUAAAAAGGCUGGAGGGAUGUGGCUCCUUCGGGAGUGUUAUAACCUUUAGCGGAAUGUGGUGGUCGGGAUUGAGGAUUGCAACGAAUACCUUUAGGGCUGUUCCACCUGGCUUCUCUUUGGUAUCCUGGUGAAGACAGCUUGCUGACUUUGUUAGGAUUCGCCUUUGAACAGGCUAGAGUGUGAGCAAAUUCGUUAAGGAUGU
rnacentral:rRNA from 1 species